ensembl:lncRNA
CUGCACGUGUGAGGGAGAGGACAUCGUGUCGGUCCUUUGCAAAAUCCACAAAGAGACAGGGAGAGAAGGAGGGUGGACACUCUGUAGUCUCGAGUCUCUGAGCUUUUGCGCUAUUUCCUCUCGGAUGCGAUAAAACCUAGAAGCACAGGUGAAUUAAAACCCCAGGGUGGAAUUUGAAAUAUUUGGAGGAUAUGGACUGGUGGAGUGGAGUUAGCCUGAUGUGCAAGAAAAUGCCAGGAAUUUCAGCCCCUUAUUUAUCACCACACAACAAAGUCAAGCUGCCACCAGACAAGAUGAGGAGCAGCAAUCAGCCUGCAGAUGGAAGCAAGGGUGGGUGGUUGGAAGGCUGGAUAAAGGCUGCUGGAUGACUGAACUCAGAGACCCGGCGCAGCUCAUCAUCAUUGCCAUGGGCUCUUGUCUUCUUCCUCUCCUCCUGUGGCUUGUACCUCCAUCCAGGGGUCCAGCAGAGCCAGUGAAGCCCAGGCGGGGAGCUAGUGAGUGGGCCGGGAAGGAUGGAGAAGGUCCCCAAAGGCUCAGAUCACCUCUGGAGCUACCGGCAUGCAGGAGAAAUCAAUAUGAAACAGAAAACCUUCACAGCUCUGAGUGGGGUUUCCUGUGUUUUAAGUGUGUGGCCUACGGGCCUGCAGACCUCCAAAAGACAGGUCCUGUGUGGUUCUCUCAGCUGCAGCCCUGGCUCCUUGGACUGGACCUCAGUCCCAAUCUCCACUGACUGUGUGUGUGGUUCUGCUGAAGGGGAUUUCUCCCCAAAUAAUACCCAAUGCCCAGAACGUUGAAAGACUGCCAAGAGGGAUGCUCCUUUCUCUUGCCUUUUUUUUCCAUCAUAAGAUUGACAUAUCCCCCCAACCUCCUGCCUCGGGCUGAUAAAAAAACAAAAAAAAACCACACAGUUCGGGAGCUCUACUUUUGACUCAUUCUCCAUCCUCGACUCGCCCGUUGUUUAUUCCCCCAACUAGUUUUUACAUUUGACAAAGAGACAGAUCUUUAUUUUCUCUACCACUCGCUUGGCUUGCUGUUACUAUGGUGAGCUGUAGACACGUGUCUGUUUAAACCAGAAAUACUGGCACACGAAGUAUGAGCUUCUCUUUUUUUUCUCCAUGAUGUCUAUUAUUCAAUUUCAGACUGUUUAAAAAAACUGACUGAACAGCAAAGAGGGCUGGAGAUCAUAGAGCAGAGAGACCUUGUAGUGGAGAUGGUAAAAUGAUUGACGGAGCAGGAGAAAAAUCUGCUUGCGUUUGGCUCAAAGGCCGGGCUUGUUCAUCCACUUCUGUUGUUUUUCUGGUGUACAACAAAACCUCAGAAACAAAGGUUUUGUUGUAAUAUGGGUUAACCCCUUGAUAUUUUAAAAACACCUAAAAAAGUGUUAUUUCAUUGUCUCUUAAGAUGUACUUUAUUGCCAACAAGCAUCUGUGGUUGAAUAAAGAAAUGUAUUUAAAGCUUUUAAAUAUAUAUUGUUUAUUGAGAGCCUUGUGUUUUGUUUGCUGUCCACUGCUGUAUUUGACGCUGGUCAUUUGGCAUGAGUAUAAAGAAGAAUUUGAACUAAUUUUUUAAAUAAAAAGUCAGAUCGAUCACACCGCACUUUUAUUUUUGUGCCAGUUUUACAAUAAAGAGUUUGUGUCUAAUGUAUAUAUAUGUGUGUGUAUAAAUGCGUGGUCAAUAAAGU